UACGAAGGGGACUAGCGUUGUUCGGAAUUACUGGGCGUAAAGCGCUCGUAGGCGGCUUUGUAAGUCAGUGGUGAAAUCCCGGGGCUCAACCUCGGAACUGCCUUUGAUACUGCAAAUCUCGAGUCCGAUAGAGGUGGGUGGAAUUCCUAGUGUAGAGGUGAAAUUCGUAGAUAUUAGGAAGAACACCGGUGGCGAAGGCGGCCCACUGGAUCGGUACUGACGCUGAGGUGCGAAAGCGUGGGGAGCAAACAGG
rnacentral:rRNA from 1 species